rnacentral:rRNA from 1 species
AGUCGAGCGAACGGACGAGAAGCUUGCUUCUCUGAUGUUAGCGGCGGACGGGUGAGUAACACGUGGAUAACCUACCUAUAAGACUGGGAUAACUUCGGGAAACCGGAGCUAUACCGGAUAAUAUUUUGAACCGCAUGGUUCAAAAGUGAAAGACGGUCUUGCUGUCACUUAUAGAUGGAUCCGCGCUGCAUUAGCUAGUUGGUAAGGUAACGGCUUACCAAGGCAACGAUGCAUAGCCGACCUGAGAGGGUGAUCGGCCACACUGGAACUGAGACACGGUCCAGACUCCUACGGGAGGCAGCAGUAGGGAAUCUUCCGCAAUGGGCGAAAGCCUGACGGAGCCACGCCGCGUGAGUGAUGAAGGUCUUCGGAUCGUAAAACUCUGUUAUUAGGGAAGAACAUAUGUGUAAGUAACUGUGCACAUCUUGACGGUACCUAAUCAGAAAGCCACGGCUAACUUACGUGCCAGCAGCCGCGGUAAUUACGUAGGUGGCAAGCGUUAUCCGGAAUUAUUGGGCGUAAAGCGCGCGUAGGCGGUUUUUUAAGUCUGUAUGUGAAAGCCCACGGCUCAACCGUGGAGGGUCAUUGGAAACUGGAAUACUUGAGUGCUAGUAAGAGGAAUAGUGGUAUUCCUAUGUGUAGCGGUGA